CAAUAGCGUAUAUUAAAGUUGUUGCAGUUAAAAAGCUCGUAGUUGGAUUUCUGGUGGGAGCGAUCGGUCUGGCGCUUAGCGCGAGUACUUGCAUCGUCUCCGGCCAUCCUUGGGGAGAGUCUGUCUGGCAUUAGGUUGUCGGGCAGAGGAUCCACAUCGUUUACUGUGAAAAAAUUAGAGUGUUCAAAGCAGGCUUAUGCCGUUGAAUAUAUUAGCAUGGAAUAAUAAGAUAGGACUUUGGUACUAUUUUGUUGGUUUGCGCACCAAAGUAAUGAUUAAUAGGGACAGUUGGGGGUAUUCGUAUUCCGUUGUCAGAGGUGAAAUUCUUGGAUUUACGGAAGACGAACUACUGCGAAAGCAUUUACCAAGGAUGUUUUCAUUAA
rnacentral:rRNA from 1 species